rnacentral:rRNA from 1 species
CCUACGGGAGGCAGCAGGGAGGAAUAUUGGUCAAUGGGCGCGAGCCUGAACCAGCCAAGUAGCGUGAAGGAUGACUGCCCUACGGGGUGUAAACUGCUUUUAUAAAGGAAUAAAGUGAGGCACGUGUGCCUUUUUGUAUGUACUUUAUGAAUAAGGAUCGGCUAACUCCGUGCCAGCAGCCGCGGUAAUACGGAGGAUCCGAGGGUUAUCCGGAUUUAUUGGGUUUAAAGGGAGCGUAGAUGGGUUGUUAAGUCAGUUGUGAAAGUUUGCGGCUCAACCGUAAAAUUGCAAUUGAUACUGGCAGCCUUGAGUCCAGUUGAGGUAGGCGGAAUUCGUGGUGUAGCGGUGAAAUGCUUAGAUAUCACGAAGAACUCCGAUUGCGAAGGCAGCUUACUACACUGCAACUGACAUUGAUGCUCGAAAGUGUGGGUAUCAAACAGGAUUAGAUACCCCUGUAGUC